UUGCAAGCUGACUGGUGUGACGAGCGUCACACAAGCCAUCACGGUCGUCACGCAAGUGCAUGUGACGCCCGUAACACCUUCUGUCACGAGCGUGACAGCUUCAGAAUAGGUGAACGUUAGUGACCGUUGGGGACACGACCGUUACCCACCCUAUUUUUUAUUUUCCCCAUUCAUUCACCUUUACUCCAUCCCAAUCACAUUC
rnacentral:lncRNA from 1 species